rnacentral:rRNA from 1 species
AUUGAACGCUGGCGGCAUGCCUUACACAUGCAAGUCGAACGGCAGCGGACCUUCGGGUGCCGGCGAGUGGCGAACGGGUGAGUAAUGCAUCGGAACGUACCUUUCAGGGGGGGAUAACGUAGCGAAAGUUACGCUAAUACCGCAUAUUCUGUGAGCAGGAAAGCAGGGGAUCGCAAGACCUUGCGCUGAUUGAGCGGCCGAUGUCAGAUUAGCUAGUUGGUGAGGUAAAGGCUCACCAAGGGGACGAGCUGUAGCGGGUCUGAGAGGAUGAUCCGCCACACUGGAACUGAGACACGGUCCAGACUCCUACGGGAGGCAGCAGUGGGGAAUUUUGGACAAUGGGGGCAACCCUGAUCCAGCCAUGCCGCGUGAGUGAAGAAGGCCUUCGGGUUGUAAAGCUCUUUCGGCCGGGAAGAAAUCGCACGGGCUAAUACCCUGUGUGGAUGACGGUACCGGAAUAAGAAGCACCGGCUAACUACGUGCCAGCAGCCGCGGUAACAC